UACGUAGGUGGCAAGCGUUGUCCGGAUUUAUUGGGCUUAAAGGGUGCGUAGGCGGUCAUGUAAGUCAGUGCUGAAAUAUCCCAGCUUAACUGGGAGGGUGGCAUUGAUACUGCGGGGCUAGAGUACAGAUGAGGUAGGCGGAAUUGACGGUGUAGCGGUGAAAUGCUUAGAUAUCGUCAAGAACACCUAUAGCGAAGGCAGCUUACUAGGCUGUAACUGACGCUGAGGCACGAAAGUGUGGGGAGCAAACAGG
rnacentral:rRNA from 1 species